rnacentral:rRNA from 1 species
UACGUAGGGUGCAAGCGUUGUCCGGAAUUAUUGGGCGUAAAGAGCUCGUAGGCGGUCUGUCGCGUCUGCUGUGAAAACUCAGGGCUUAACCCUGAGCUUGCAGUGGGUACGGGCAGACUAGAGUGCGGUAGGGGAGACUGGAGUUCCUGGUGUAGCGGUGAAAUGCGUAGAUAUCGUAAGGAAGACCAGUGGCGAAGGCGGGUCUCUGGA